GAUGAACGCUGGCGGCGUGCCUAAUACAUGCAAGUCGAGCGAACAGACGAGGAGCUUGCUCCUCUGACGUUAGCGGCGGACGGGUGAGUAACACGUGGAUAACCUACCUAUAAGACUGGGAUAACUUCGGGAAACCGGAGCUAAUACCGGAUAAUAUAUUGAACCGCAUGGUUCAAUAGUGAAAGACGGUUUUGCUGUCACUUAUAGAUGGACCCGCGCCGCAUUAGCUAGUUGGUAAGGUAACGGCUUACCAAGGCAACGAUGCGUAGCCGACCUGAGAGGGUGAUCGGCCACACUGGAACUGAGACACGGUCCAGACUCCUACGGGAGGCAGCAGUAGGGAAUCUUCCGCAAUGGGCGAAAGCCUGACGGAGCAACGCCGCGUGAGUGAUGAAGGUCUUCGGAUCGUAAAACUCUGUUAUUAGGGAAGAACAAAUGUGUAAGUAACUAUGCACGUCUUGACGGUACCUAAUCAGAAAGCCACGGCUAACUACGUG
rnacentral:rRNA from 1 species